rnacentral:rRNA from 1 species
UACAGAGGGCGCGAGCGUUGUCCGGAAUCACUGGGCGUAAAGGGCGCGUAGGUGGCCACCAUAAGGCCGCGGUGAAAGUUCGGGGCUCAACCCCGGAUCGGCCGCGGCGACUGUGGGGCUGGGGUACUGUAGAGGCAGGUGGAAUUCCGGGUGUAGCGGUGGAAUGCGUAGAGAUCUGGAGGAACAUCAGUGGCGAAGGCGACACCCUGGACUCAUACUGACACUGAGGUGCGAAAGCGUGGGGAGCAAACAGG